UCCAGAAAACGGAUAUACGAGAAUAGUGGUACAAGAUGCAUCAGACAGAAGUGUUUUAUCAGAACCUUGAGAACAUAAAGUUGAAAAGUCAUUGGAAGUGUUUCCAGCAGAACUUGAUGACUGAUUUUGCUCUUGAGCUCCGUUAUUUGCCGUUGGACGCUCUGACGAUGACUGGUUCGAAUUUUUAAUCCUGGAAAGAAGAGAGUCACCAGAAUUGGAAUUAAAUGGAGUUGGCGAGGAUGGAAGGGAAUGUUUAGGCAUUUUUGAGGAAUGUGGAGACGAGGUCUGUUUAACAAUUGACCUUACAGUUUUCUGGGGAGUGCGAGGGAUGAUCGUGGAUUGUUUUAAAGUCAAUAAUUGUUUAAAUUCUUUAGCCGAACUAGGAGAUGUUAAAGAAAAGUCAGAUUGGUCC